AAUGUCAGGACGAUAGCAUAACAGACAAUGUUGGUUUGCGUGAGGCACUGCACGCCUACGAUCAACUGAAAUUCAAUUUAACCAACCCUGCUUUUGGAAAAGCUUGGGAACAGUAUUGCUCCCGUGAAUCCGAUUACGGAGUAUUUUAUUCAGCAGAUUAUGGAAUAAUCGAAACAAGCCGCAAUUACUUGGUUAGGAAAUUCAAUCAUUAUAAGUGUAGUCUUCUUUUCGUGUUCUCGCAAACGGUCAUUGCUAGACCAGAUCCAGAGCCUGAAUUACCGGGUUUUUAUGACAUUCUCAACAAUCAACUCUUCUUCCUUGGUUACGCUAGCAUGCACUGUUCGAAUGAGUUUCAUUCCGGAAUGGAGCAGUGGAGUUCAGAGGGUCAUCGCUCCAGCCGAGCAAGAGUAAAUGGUGCCCUUUCAAAAAUGAACGAGUUUUCUUACGCGUGGCAAUGUCCAAAAGGCUCUACGAUGAACCCCGUCGACAGAUGCUCGCUGGGAUAGUUAAUUAGGGGUGAAAUUUACCUCCAAGGUUUUUUUUUAAAUAUUCAUAAUUUUAAAUCGUUGAA